AGGAUCGGUGCUGUGGAGAUACCA
rnacentral:siRNA from 1 species